rnacentral:lncRNA from 1 species
ACGGAGACUGCAGUGUGAGACACACACACACACACACACACACACACACACACACACACACACACACACAGUGCUACACAUGUGUGUGUGUGUGUGUGUUAUAGACUCUCAGAGGAUCAAUGAUGGUGAAUUCUCAGAUCACGAGUGUGAAGAAGGAAUUGAAGUGAUUUCAGAUUACAGACAGAAUGGGCGGGACUUCCAUGGCUCCAGCCUAUCAGUGCCUGAGCAGGUCCUCCUGUCCAACCCCUGCUCACGGUCUGAUUCCCUCAGGAGGAGGUCCAGAUCUCCCAGCCAAUCACUGCCUCCCAACAGCUCCAACUCUCUCUACCCGUUGAACCGUGAGGACGCCGUGAGGCUGCUUCAAGGUUCCAAAAUGAACCGAGCGUCCUCUGACAGUAGCGGCAGCCUGGACAGGUAA